AGUGAACGCUGGCGGUAGGCCUAACACAUGCAAGUCGAACGGCAGCACAGUAAGAGCUUGCUCUUACGGGUGGCGAGUGGCGGACGGGUGAGGAAUACAUCGGAAUCUACUUUUUCGUGGGGGAUAACGUAGGGAAACUUACGCUAAUACCGCAUACGACCUACGGGUGAAAGCAGGGGAUCUUCGGACCUUGCGCGAUUGAAUGAGCCGAUGUCGGAUUAGCUAGUUGGCGGGGUAAAGGCCCACCAAGGCGACGAUCCGUAGCUGGUCUGAGAGGAUGAUAAGCCACACUGGAACUGAGACACGGUCCAGACUCCUACGGGAGGCAGCAGUGGGGAAUAUUGGACAAUGGGCGCAAGCAUGAUCCAGCCAUACCGCGUGGGUGAAGAAGGCCUUCGGGUUGUAAAGCCCUUUUGUUGGGAAAGAAAAGCAGCAGGUUAAUACCCCGCUGUUCUGACGGUACCCAAAGAAUAAGCACCGGCUAACUUCGUG
rnacentral:rRNA from 1 species